CCCUCUCGCCCUUCCCAGUAUACUACAAUUGUUAGGCUUUGGGCAGAGCCACACUGCAGCAACCACUACACGGACAAGCAAGAUGGAGCCUGUGUUCCGAUAGAAAGCAAGAGAGCAAAGAUUGAUUGACCCUGCCGGCUGCGGAGGGCCUCGUUCAGAUCCCCUCUACUGGCACCUUGGGAGGGACGAACCGCAACGCCGUUGUCUUUGGAUCGAGAUCGUAACCUCAUGCCCGGUGCCCAUCAACAACAGAAGAUUUGAUCGUGACACCAUCCCCGGUGACCAUCAGCAAGAGAAGAUUGAGUAAGCCAUGGAUCUGGCCAUGGGGGCCAUGGGCUCCCUCCUCAACAAAUUGAGCGAGGUUAUCAAGGAGGAGUACAAGCUACAGAAGGGCGUCAAGAAAAAGGUCAAGUCCUUCUCUGCCGAGCUGGAUAUUAUGCGCGCUGCCCUUGGCAAGGUGGCAGAGGUGCCGCGAGAUCAGCUCGACGAUCAGAUCAAGCUUUGGGCUGACGAUGUCAGGGAGCUGUCUUACGACAUGGAGGAUGUUGUUGACUCUCUCCUGGUGCGUGUUGAGGGCAGUGACCCCAAUGCUGAUCAGUUCAACUUCAAGAAGCUCAUGGUCAAGAUGGUAAACGUGUUUAAAAAGGGCAAGGCUCGCCGUGAGAUUUCCACAGCAGUCGAAGAGAUCCAUGAGCGGUUGCAAGAUGUGACCAGACGACAUGAAAGGUAUAAUCUUGAUAAUUUACCUGCAGCGAAAAGGACCACCACUGACCCUUUCUGGGAGGUUUUCUAUGGGGAUAAGAAGAAUAUCAUCGGCCUACAGAAAGCAAGGGACGAUAUUAUCAAGAAGAUCAGUGACGGUUAUCCAGUGUCCAACGCGCAUCUCAAGAUACUCUCAGUUGUGGGAUUUGGAGGACUGGGCAAGACCACACUUGCCAGAGAAGUAUAUGAUUCCCUUCCAACAAAAUUUGAUUACAAAGCUUUUGUGUCUGUGUCUCGGAAUCCCGACAUGAAGAAAGUAUUAAGCAAUCUUCUCUUCAAACUUGACAAGGAAAAACACGCUAGUAUGAAUGCAGCAAACUUGGAUGUAGAGCAGCUCAUCAUCCUAGCCCGUGAACUGCUUAGCAAGAAAAGGUACUUUAUAAUUAUCGAUGAUUUAUGGGAUAAAGAAGCAUGGCAAACAAUCAGACUUGUACUCGUGGACAAUGGGUGUGGAAGUAUAAUAAUCACUACCACCCGCCAUGAUGAUGUCUCUAAAAUAUGCUGCUCUUAUAAUGAUGAUAUGAUUCAUAAGAUGGAACCUCUCUCUGACAAUCACUCCCAAAUACUUUUCUAUAGAAGAAUAUUUGGAAGUGAGGUUUGUCCUCCUAGAUUCCACCAAGUAUCCAAAAAGAUCUUAAAGAAAUGUGCUGGGGUACCAUUAGCCAUCAUCAGUUUGGCUAGUUAUUUGGCUAAUAAUGAGAGGACCAACCAAAUUGAUCAAUGGUCUGUUUUGCAAAAAUCUAUUGGCCGUGGACUUAAAAAAGGUGAUGAUCAUGUGAAGAAAAUGAAGAGGAUAUUAUCAUUGAGCUUUUAUGACCUCCCUUCUUAUUUGAAGACUUGCUUUUUAUAUCUAAGUAUCUUUCCAGAAGAUCAUCAAAUUAGCAGAGAUCGGUUGAUAAGAAGAUGGAUUAGUGAAGGAUUUAUCCAAGCAGAAGAUGAAACUGCUAGCCUGCUUGAGCUUGGAGAUAGCUACUUCAACCAGCUAGUAAACAGAAACAUGAUCAUUCCGAUAAACAUGCAUGUUGAUGGUAGGGUUGAAGCUUGUUGUGUACAUGACAUAAUGCUGGAUCUCAUAUGUGAAUUAUCAAGCGAAGUAAACUUUGUUACUGUAUUGGAUGUUAUCAAUGGAGACACAGAUUUGAAAGAGAACUUCCGCAGAUUGUCCAUCCAGAAGAGCAUGACAGAUCUCACCACCACUCAGAUGGGUACCACAAGCAUGUCACAAGUAAGGUCUUUCACGGCUUUUAGUCCUGUUGUUAGUAAGAUCCCCCCUCUCUCUAUAUUUCAAGUUUUACGUGUAUUGGAUCUAGAAGGUUGUGAUCUUCGAAAAAGUCCUGGCAUUUGCCUUAGGCAUGUCGAUAAAUUGUUACAUUUGAGAUAUCUGGGGUUAAGGGGCACAAAGGUUGGCAAGCUCCCUAUGGAAAUAGGAAAGCUACAGUUUUUGCAGACACUAGACUUGCAAUUGACCAAUUCAAAAGAAUUAUCGUCCAGUGUCGUUCAGCUGAGGCAGUUGGUGUGCCUAAUCCUUGAUUCAGGUAUGUCACUACCAAAAGGGUUAUGCAACCUGACAUGCCUUGAACAGCUAAUGGGGCACAAUAUGGGCUUUCAUUCUGAAGAAACCGCAAAAGAGCUGGGCCAUAUGACCAGGCUAAGAGAGCUCUCCUUUAGAUUGGAUGUUGGGGGAAAUGAUGAAGUUAGUAAAGCUUUGAUUGGGUCCAUAGCCAAGCUACACAAACUCGAGCGCCUGGAAAUCUCCGUUAAUGGUAAUUGGCGUGACAUAGUGCACGGUUUGGUGCCGCCUCCAAACCUACGCAGGCUUAGUUCAUACAACCAAUUGCGGCUCAUUCCUGCAUGGAUUUGUUCUUCAUCGCUGCCUCUACUCUCCUACCUUGAUCUAACUGCCAUUGAAGUGCGCUCCGGAGAUAUCCAGAACCUUGGGAUGCUGCCGGCUCUCCGUUAUCUCGCCCUUGACACAGGCAAUAUCAAAGUAGUGGUGGAGAAGCUAGAAGUUAGCGCCGGUGCCUUCCCGGAGGCGAGAGUAUGCCUUUUCCACAGAAUUAUACUGGUGAACCCUACGUUCCAAAAAGGAGCUAUGCCAAUGAUUCAACGCCUUCGCUUCGGUCUCCGAGUGAAUGACAUCCUCAGUCCUGAGUUUGAUUUGAGCAUAAGGAACCUUCCUUCGCUCAAGCAACUCAGAAUUGACCUUUCCAAUAAGGAAGUCAGCCCUGAAGAUUAUUCUCAAGCCAUAGACGCGUUGAGGUGUGUGGCAGAGAGCCAUCCCCAAAGCCCCAUCCUUCGUGCCGAUGAAUACUGACAUGAUAGAGAGGCCGAGUUGAGCCGAGCGAUAAACAAAACCCUAUGUCCAGCUAGCAGGAGGUGGUUCCGUCGGCAUUGACUCUCUAUCCCACAAACCUCUAUCUUCCGUCAGCAUGUUCAACUUAUGUUCCUUCUAUGUCAACGAAAUGAAGUCCUGUGUGCUUUUGCCUGUACAUAUUUAUUUGGUCAAACUGGUUUGUUCAGUGUGUAAUAAGGCUACGUUUGGUGGUGGUGCGCCAGGUUUUUUGUCCCUUAGGUUAUGUUCCCAGCGAAUGUAACUAGAGGGUUUUCCUGGCGUGCAUCCAACUCAGCGGACCUAUUUCCAUUUUCAACUAUUGUGUUGAAUACUGUCUACACUCUUGUAAGUUAAAAUUCUGUGAUCCACUAUUCUGCUCUUGUUUUCCUCUGUUCAGGAACCAUUACGUUUCUAAGGUCCUCUGUUUUACUGCCUGAAAGCUAGCUAGCUCAUGAUGAACUAUCUAUUUUCACUUUCCUUCCAAAUAAGUAGCUCAUGAUGUACUACUUCACUUCUUUCUCAUGUACAGUACUACCGGCUUGUUUGCCCGGCGUGCCUGCUGUCCUCAUGGCUGCUUUAAGACUCUUUACACCUUUCUCAAAAGAGAAAUGUCUAACAGCUCCCAGGUGCCCUUACACCCUCAUGAACAGUAAAUUCAUAAAAAAAAUGAAAAAAAUCAAUAAAGUGCAGCCCUACGCAGUUUGUUUAUUUGGAUGUAUCACCUUUCGU